GUUUCGGGACCCUUCUUCAUUCCCCUGCCGUACAAACACAGCGAAGCCUACCCUCAACGGACUUCACCGCAACGAAGAAAAAAGCUGCAGCCAGAUGAGAGGAGCCACCAAAUUGCCUGUGAAGAACAUUAUGAAACAACUCUAUCCUAUGCAAAGUACAAAGAGACCCAUGAUGAUCUCUGCUCCAAAUAGGAACGAUACUAAAAACGAACAAGGAUCGAUGCUCGUGCCAGUUGACAACAUGAGCUCUGUUGCAAUCUUUGACAAACCAAAGCUUCCUCCAGUUCUCGGC